CAGAGCUGAAGAAGCAAAUAGGGCUGCAAUGGAAGCUCAGAGAAGAGAAGCAAAAGAGGCUGCUGAAAGGGAGGCCAAUGAAGCGUCAAGCCAGGCUGCUGUUCAGAAGGAAGCUUUAGGAUUGCAAACUAAAGCCAAAACCAAGGAAUCUGAAUUUGAAAAACCAAUAAAUUCAGCAUCAGCAGGGGCUAUUGGUGGUAGGUGACAUUACUAAAGCUGCAGAAGCUGCACUAAAGUUGGAGCGUGAAAGAUUAAAAAAGUUGGAAGACUUGGAUGAAGGAAACAAGGCAUUAGGAUUGAAUGUAAAUAAGGUUUGCUCUCUAUAUUGUAAUUCAUAUUUAUUUGAAAAUUGUUAAUCUCUAUUUGGUAACUAGAAACUAGUAUUUUUGUUUGGGAUUUUCU